rnacentral:lncRNA from 1 species
UGGGCGUUAUUUAUUUUGAAUCUUAAAGAUUUUUUUAUAAUCUACUCCAAUCUAUAUAUGUUCUGAAAUCCAUCGACAUGUAAGAGUUCUAGUUAUGGCUUGGAUUAGGUCCAAUGGACCAUGCCAAAUCCCAUGGUGGAUGACACGCCACGUUACGCCUCCAUAUUGCAUGCACUAGGUGCAAUUGGACCGUAUAAAUCCCAUGAUGGAGAUAACACACCACACGACCCUUGUAUUUCAUCAAUUCCUGAUUGCGUGCUUUCCACCAUGUAUAUGCUCCUGAUCUGUCCUGAUUCACUUGCACCUGGUGCAUGCAAUAAUUUUUCCCAUGUUAAUCUUGUAUUUCACCAAUUUCGGAU